GAUGAACGCUGGCGGCGUGCUUAACACAUGCAAGUCGAACGAUGAAGCCCAGCUUGCUGGGUGGAUUAGUGGCGAACGGGUGAGUAACACGUGAGUAACCUGCCCUUAACUCUGGGAUAAGCCUGGGAAACUGGGUCUAAUACCGGAUAGGAGCGCCUACCGCCUGGUGGGUGUUGGAAAGAUUUAUCGGUUUUGGAUGGACUCGCGGCCUAUCAGCUUGUUGGUGAGGUAAUGGCUCACCAAGGCGACGACGGGUAGCCGGCCUGAGAGGGUGACCGGCCACCCUGGGACUGAGACACGGCCCAGACUCCUACGGGAGGCAGCAGUGGGGAAUAUUGCACAAUGGGCGAAAGCCUGAUGCAGCGACGCCGCGUGAGGGAUGACGGCCUUCGGGUUGUAAACCUCUUUCAGUAGGGAAGAAGCGAAAGUGACGGUACCUGCAGAAGAAGCACCGGCUAACUACGUG
rnacentral:rRNA from 1 species